AUGCCCCCCAAGAAACAGGCUCAGGCUGGGGGCAGCAAAAAGGCGGAGCAGAAAAAGGAGAUUAUCGAAGAUAAAACUUCUGAUCUAAAGAAUAAGAAAGGAGCAAAGCAACAGAAGUUUAUCAAGGCUGUCACUCAUCAAGUUAAAUGUGGUCAACAAAAUCCACUUUAGGUAGCAUAAAGUGAAGCUGAAAAGAAGUUGAAGAAAGAUGACAAGAAGAAGGAAUUGCAAGAGCUAAAUGAGUUGUUCAAACCUGUAGUUGCCGCUCAAAAAAUAAGUAAAGGUGCAGAUCCCAAAUCCAUGGUAUGUGCAUUCGUCAAGUAAGGACAGUGUACUAAAGGAGAUAAGUGUAAGUUCUCUCAUGACUUGACUCUGGAGACAAAAUGUGAAAGGCGAAGUGUUUACAUUGAUGCAAGAGAUGAAGAGCUUGAUAAAGAUACUAUGGAUAAUUGGGAUGAGAAAAAACUGGAAGAAGUAGUAAACAAGCAGCACGGUGAGGUGGAAAAGAAAAAACCAAAAACUCAAAUAGUGUGCAAGCAUGUCCUUGAAGCUAUUGAAAACAACAAAUAUGGCUGGUUUGGGGUAUGCCCUAGAGGGGGUAAUAUUUGCAUGUAUCAUCAUGCACUUUCUCCUGAGUUUGUCUUUAAAAAAGAUAAAAAGAAGAAAAAGAAGAUGAAAUUUCAUUAGAAGAUCUAAUUGAAAGAGAGCAUUCUGCCAUAGGUCCAAAUGUUACCAAAGUUACGUUAGAAUCUUUUCUUGCAUGGAAGAAGAGAAAAAGACAAGAAAAGAUUGAUAAACUUGAGCAAGAUAUAGAAACAAGGAAAGCAGACUUCAAAGCAGGGAAAGAGUUAGUGAUUAGUGGUUGUGAGGUGUUUGAAUUUCGUCCUGAACUGGUUGACGAUGAGGAGGAGGAAGCUGAUGAUACCUUUUAUACCCAGGGAACAGGUGGUGAUGAGGUUGAUGAUUCAGUGAGCAUAAAUGACAUAGAUUUAAGCCUGUACAUCCCAAGAGAUGCAGAUGAGACAGGUAUUACUGUAGCCAGUCUUGAAAGAUUCAGCACAUAUACUUCAGAAAAGGAUGAAAACAAAUUAAGUGAAGCUUCCGGAGGUAGGACUGAAAAUGGUGAAAGAAGUGAUUUGGAAGAGGACAACGAAAGGGAGGGACAGGAAGAUGGAGCCAUUGAUUCUGUUCCUGUUGACGGAAGUCUUCUUACUGGGGAAGAUUUGGAUGAACUAGAAGAAGAAUUAAACACACUUGAUUUAGAAGAAUGACACCAAACAAGUCAAUGAAAAAAUUAAGCCAGCUCAGCAUGAGUUGAAAUUGACUACAUUAAUUUUUUUCCACCUAGAAUUCAACAGGAUGUUUGUUUCCCAUGCUGAUUCUGGAGGGCUUACUCUCCUCCAAAAAAGGAAUAUUCUCCCUACAUCUUGUCUUCUGACUUUGGCUACAUCUCAUAGUAAGUUCAGAGUAGUUCAUGAUAAAUUAAAAAUAUAAUGGUCAUUGCAGAAAAUGAUUGAUUGUUUUAACUGUCCACUCAAGUAGGAAGUGUAACUGCUUUUCCAGCUUUUGAUUUUCAUUGGGUAUGUGUUAUUAGAAGGACAACAUAAAUUUAAAUUACCCUUCAUUUAAUGCAGUUUUUAAUGAGUGAUUUUCUUUCCUUUGUAUUUAUAUGUUCAAAAGGCUGCCUAAGAUAUGAGCCUGUACUUCAUAAAGGAAACUGUGUAUGCAGAUUCAGUAUUGUAUAUCUUUGGACAAUUAGAUGGACAUUUAAAAUGAAACUUCAUUAGUCUGCCAGGAUCAGCUGCAAUGCCCUGUGUUAAACUGUUUUAAACUAUUCCUUUUCUUUUUUGCCAAUAAAGUUGUAAAUAAAGACCUCGAUACAUUGAAAUCCAAAAAAA